GCAAGUCGCGGGGCAGCAUGAAUUUAGCUUGCUAAAUUUGAUGGCGACCGGCGCACGGGUGAGUAACGCGUAUCCAACCUUCCCCUGUCCACGGGAUAGCCCGUCGAAAGGCGGAUUAAUACCGUAUGAGGUCACACGAUGGCAUCAGACUGUGACGAAAGGUUUGGCGGACAGGGAUGGGGAUGCGUCCGAUUAGCUUGUUGGCGGGGUAACGGCCCACCAAGGCUACGAUCAGUAGGGGUUCUGAGAGGAAGGUCCCCCACAUUGGAACUGAGACACGGUCCAAACUCCUACGGGAGGCAGCAGUGAGGAAUAUUGGUCAAUGGGCGAGAGCCUGAACCAGCCAAGUAGCGUGCAGGAUGACGGCCCUAUGGGUUGUAAACUGCUUUUAUGCGGGGAUAAACUGGCUCACGUGUGGGUCAUUGCAGGUACCGCAUGAAUAAGGACCGGCUAAUUCCGUGCCAGCAGCCGCGGUAAUACGGAAGGUUCGGGCGUUAUCCGGAUUUAUUGGGUUUAAAGGGAGCGUAGGCCGUUGUUUAAGCGUGUUGUGAAAUGUCCCGGCUCAACCGUGGCACUGCAGCGCGAACUGGACGACUUGAGUGCGCGGAACGUAUGCGGAAUUUGUGGUGUAGCGGUGAAAUGCUUAGAUAUCACGAAGAACUCCGAUUG
rnacentral:rRNA from 1 species